CACAGAUGCAGAGAGAGUAUGAAAUGAGUUGAUAGAUCUAAGUUAUUGGUUGAUCCAAAUACUAAAACAAGAUCAUCAGACGUAUUCUCUAUUUUCUGUCAAAGAUAUGGAGGUGUUAGGAAGAAGAAUUACCAGAAAAUCGAAAUUGUUGUUAAAGAAUCAGGUGAUACAGAAGAGAAAGAAGAAAAGGAAGAAAAACAAAAUGGUUUAUUUGUUGAUCUUGAUAGUCAGUAUGAGCGGAAUCGAAAAGUUUAACAAUCUUAGAGGAAGAGCUGCUGUGGUAGACCAGCGAGUUGCAAGCAGAGCCGAUAAGCAAUCGUGUGUCGGCAAUUCUGUAACCUGCUUAGGCGUCAUAAUCUUCUCGUAGUUGAUUUUUUCAAAUGUUCAUUGAAGUCAACUUCCUGGCCAUUUCCAAACACGUCGUUAGGACACUUACCAGAAGAAGUGUAAUGGUUUAAGGAUUUGUUCGUACUAGAUGAAUGUUAUGGAAAGCUACCCUUUAGGAACAAGAAAGCUAAAUGGAAAAGACAUCACUAUACACCCCACGACGUGGAUUGGAAGGAUUUUCUAAAAUUUUGGACUACUAAAGAUCAUCAGGGUCCUUCAUAUAAGUAUCAACUCGUUGCAGCAAUCAUUCAUGUUGGGAAUGAGUCUACUUGAGGCCAUUACACCACCAACAAGCGCGGUUCAGAUGGCAAAUGGUGGAGGUGCCUCGAUGAGUCUGUAACUGAUGUGAGUGAGAACAAAGUGUUGCUUGGUGACACAUAUCUUCUAUUCUACUUACAAAUACAGUUGCAGCUCUGAUUGUGGGAUAUUCGUAAUGAAGUUCAUCGUCCUGAAAAUGGAUGUUUGUCGUAAGCUUGUUGGCCUUGGAGUUGUUCAAAAAACUGUAAUUUAAAGGGUAUGUGAUUAGAGUGUGGACUCUCGAGUCUGUUUUUUGUACGGUGUGUCUGCAUUUAGGGUCACUAGAAAGAAUCGCCACCUGACUAUGAUAGGUGUCUGAGAUCAACACGAUGGCAUUUUUCCUUAUCCAUGUUGCGCCAGGCCUGAGUUAAGAGGUUGUAGAAAUAAAGUUCAAACUUUUGUGUUUAAACUUGGUAGGUUUUGUUGCUCUCCCAAUAACUGUGGUGUAAUUAUCAGAAACUUCCACAUUGACUUGCAAGUGCAUCUGUAAAUUUAGCUUAAUUCUUUUGUGAAUGAAACAAUAGAUCAAACAAAAAACCAGCGGAUGCUUUUUGUUCAUAAACAAUAUUUUGACAGACACACAGAGGGAUAAUAGAAGUAGCCCGUAAUGAUUGUUUCGAAAUAACGCGGAAGGAAAAUCUCACAUAGCAACAUUUCCACUGGUUGCAAAGUGCAACACAUUUUUUUGGUUUGCCAAGUGUUUGUAAAAUUCUUUUUUAUGUUGUGAAACAAUUGAACAAUCAAGAUUCAAGGCUGUGGAAAGAAGCUGCCCUUAUCUAAUGGGUAGGCUGUCUUUAUCCAAAGGUUAUAUUGGUAAAAAUAACAAUAGUGUCGGUGUAGCUAUUUAGAAAGGGAAAGGGAAAUUGCAACUGGGAGCCAUAUAUCAAUCUGAGAUCUGGAAUCCCUAAACCCUCUAACUUACUACAUCAAACACGCAGAGAAUGAAAAAUGAGUAGAUAGAUCGAAGCAGUUAUUAGUUGAUCAACAAACAAAAAGAUAUGAAAGGUGUGGGAAGAAAAGUUGGUAAUGAAUCCGAGUUGUUUGGGUUGUUGUUACUAAAGACACAGAAGAAGAUCAAGAAGAAGAAGAAAAGGAAGUAGAAGAUCAAACUGCAUGAGUUACGUUGGAUCAUUGGUAUGAGCGGAAAAUACAAAUUUGGAAGAAAAACUGAUUGGUCACUUAGAGAUUUGACAGUUCAUUAUAAUACUCCACAUCCACAUGGAGGACUUCUCAUUGUUACUGAUGUUAUUGGAAAACCAACAGGAACAAGGUACACUUCUAAAAGAAGGCAUCUCAGUCAAGAACAGGUUUUCAGACGUCUACCGAUGCCAGGCAUUUCACUGUAUCUGCAAAGAUACCUGGAGUUUCGAACAAAAACAGAAAUUUGGGGGUCCAGUUUUAUAUAAAGUUAGAGCAAGAAUGAAAUGUGGUGCUGGUUAUAUUAUGCUUCUUUCCAGUUAUGUCAGACUUAAGAAAUUUGGUGGUGAUACUCCUUACAGGUCUGUAUACAAUUUCUCAGCUGUUGCAUUUUCUGUUAUGCCUAAAAUGUCGUACUUUCUUUAGAGUAUCCGUGGGUGACAUGGAUAACUCAUUUUGUUGCGUUGUGACGCGGGUCUAGCUGACCCUAUCAACUGGAUCAUCAUGAAUUGAUGAAAGACUCGCGUGAUCUUAAACAGCAUGUGGGAUAGUGGAGUUGAUUAGUUAAGGUCUGGCAGCCAAUGUCCUGUUCGCUCACUGAAAUGAGGGUAAACAAAAUCGUAUGCUAAGGUCUGCAGCAAGAAUGUCUCCAGAUUUUACUGAUGCAUGUUGCACAAGAAAUUAAGAAAAUCUAAAUUGUUUGAUUUUCACAAUUGAAUAGCAGUUGACCUGUUUCUGUCAUCAAACUUGUCUGGAAGUGGUUUUCUAUACCUGCGAUGUCUUAUUCUCACAAAUAUGUGUAAUACUGUGAUGUGAUGCGAUGCCGGGCAAUGACUCCAUCCUGCCGUUCCUGAUCCGAAAGCCUAAGAGGUCCGUUCAUUGCUCAUAAAUCGCAUAUUAUACUUAAUUUUGUCUUUGAUGAUUGCUCUCAUUUUUUGCUCAAGCUAGUCUUUCAUUGUAAUUCGCUCUUUUCCAAACAUACGUCUCACUAUAUCAAUUUGUGUCGUGGGCUUUGAUCAGCCUGACUCUGGGAUGACGAAGAAGAUGAACGAUUUUUUAGGGACCAUGGUUUUUUUUGGGGACCAUGGUCCUAUUAGACCACCUACCCUACAAUUUUAAGGGAUGUCCAUGGAAUUACUAAUUUACCCUUACCCUAAUUAAAAUUAACCCUAAUCUAAUAACCACCCCUAAUCUAAUAACUAGGGCUGCACAUGGGUCGGGUUGGGUCGGGUUUGGCCUCACCCACCACCCGACCCACUGCUGGUGGGUAAUUGAACUUUUCACCCGCAACCGACCCACCAUAACAAUGGGUCGCUUUUCACCCGACCCACAAUAAGGCGGGUUGGGUUGGGUCGGGUGGUGGGUUACCCGUCAUAUUUUAUAUCUUGCGGGAAAUUGAAAUCAAUUUCAAAUGAAUCCCUAGAUUUAUUUAGAAAGUCAAGAACAAUCAACAAUACAUAGAGUUCAACUAGUUGGGAACAAGUUUUAAGUUGAUUCAUACCUUCAGUUCACUAAUCAAGAUUCAAGAACAACGAAUUGACGAAGGAAGAAGAGUCUCCGUGACUCUGUCUCUGAGAAGGAGAGAAGAAGAGGCCGAAGUGAUAGGUGUGGGCUGCGAGUGCGAUGCUUAGUUAGGGUUAGGUAUUUUAUUUUUUCAAUCCAAUGGCUGAGAUUCAUUCUAGAAUAGAAAAUCUAAGGGGUAGCAUGCUAGGGAAUAUUGGGCGGGUUGGUGGGUCGGGUCGGGUGAAGGAAGUUCCUACCCGCAACCGACCCAACAUACGGUGGGUUUUCACGUGCCUCACCCAUAGUCGACCCAUACUUAGGUGGGUCGGUUCAGGUACGGGUAUUUUUCGACGGGUGUGGGUCGGGUCGGCGGGUCGAGUCGGUUAUGUGCAGCCAUAUUAAUAACUAUCCCUGAUUAAAAUUAACCCUAACUUAAUGUAAAACAAAAACAAAAUACUCUAAACCUAAACCUAGCCGCUCGAAAAGAAAAACAGUUCUCUUCUUCUCUUCUUCCCCAUUUCAACAUCAUCUUCAUCGAUUAAUCGUCGAUUCAUAAAAUUUUCAUCGUCGAUUAAUCAAUCGACUAUAAGAAUGGUUCUUCGAAAGAAAACCAAAAGACUCGCAGGAACAGGUCCCCCAUUAGGACAUCUAGCAAAUCAGCCAAGUGAUUUUGAGAUUCAUAAAGAAGUGGAGCAGCCAAGAGAAGUGGAAGAGCCAAGUGAAUCCAUAAUCCAGUAUAAUAGACGCAGUUCGAACCCUGAUUCUUCCAUGGGACCGAUUCGCAGUGGCAAAGGUAAGAAAUCCAACCAACCAUUACCGGAAGAUUUGAGAACUCCCACGUCUAGAGGCCCAAAACACUAAGGUGCCGAUAAGUGUGGAACCAAAAAUGCUAAGUAUGGAGGUGGGUCAUUACCUGGUGUUGUCAUCCAAGAUGGUGUCAAUAGAGAUAAUGUUGAUAACGUAAUCCAACAAGUUAAUGAAGAGAUCGUGGAAGAGAUGAGC